GUAGGAACUUCGCGUUCCCACCCUCCAGGGGAGGAGAUUGGAUCAGGCGCCAGCCUUGAGGUGUCUGAUUGGAGAAAAGCUGUGCAGUGCCGCUCCCCCGACCGACUCCUUGAGAAGAAACGGCGGAGACCUGAGACCCGGAGGCUGAGGCUGUAGGUGGGCUCCGCUGGGUAAAAGUUGCCGCAGCAGCUGUCCCUUGGCCCCAUCGCGAUUUAUUUUUCCCCCUUGCUUUCCGGGUCCCGGGAUCCCAAGUUUGUAACUAACGGGAGCGAAUCCACACCCGAGCAAAAUGUUUGCGAGUUUCAGGCGCCCUUAGUUGAAAGGCUGUAAUUAACAAGUCCGCUGUUUGCCAGCCAGGCGCCGUUGCAGGCGCUUUCUGUGGAUUGUCAUUUAUUUCUCACAGCAACCCUAGGAGGCUGUUAUCCUUGACAUCUGCAGCAGCCCUUCCAAGCUGUGGAGACCAGGUCAUCUGGAAUGCCCAUUUAUGUCAAUGGAAGAAAGAAAAAGGGGUCUCCUCCCAUCCUCACCACUGCAUUCUCCCACCAACCCUGCUCCUGUCCCACUUCCCACAACUCAGUUGUUGACAAUUUAACAGUGGGUUUCUGGAAACAGUGCUGCCUCCUUGAUGGUCUAACUAACUACCAGAGUUAUUCUAACAGCAGGAAUUUCAAGCCAGCAAACCAGACAUACAUAGGAGGCACAGCAAAAGACCCAAGGUGAGGGGCUUCCCUCACCUUCACCCUUGUUCUCACGUGGAGGUGGCGCAUGUCUAUGAGACACAGUACCCCACUCAGCGAUCCUCUGCAGUCCAGGAAAUUCUAGCACUUGCUUGGAAAACAAAUCAAGUGAAGCCUGUUGGCUUUUUGUGAGCUGCCUAUGGAGAAAUGCACAUGGCAAGGAACUGAGGGUUGCCUCCAGCAAACUGCUGGUGAGGGAGUGAGGCCUUCAGUCCAACAGCCUUUAAGGAACUGAAUCCUGCCAACAACCAUGUGAGUGGGCUUGGAGAUGGAUGCUACCACCAUCAAGCCUUCAGGAGUGAAUUUUUUUGUUCUUGAGACAGCGUCUCAUUCUGUUGCCCAGGAUGGAGUACAGUGGUGCCAUCUUCGCUCACUGCAGCCUUCGUCUCCCGGGUUCAAGCAAUUCUCCUGUCUCAGCCUCCCAAGUAGCUGGGAUUACAGACCCAUCAAGCCUUCAGAUAAGACUGCAGCCUCAUUACAGACCUUGAACUGGAGGCAGCCAGCUGAGUCACACCUGGAUUCCUGACCCUUAGAAACUAUGAGAUAAUAAAUGUUUACAGUUUUAAGCCACUAAGUUUCG
rnacentral:lncRNA from 10 species